rnacentral:rRNA from 1 species
GGGCCCGCACAAGCGGUGGAGCAUGUGGUUUAAUUCGAUGCAACGCGAAGAACCUUACCUACCCUUGACAUCCAGAGGACUUUCCAGAGAUGGAUUGGUGCCUUCGGGAACUCUGAGACAGGUGCUGCAUGGCUGUCGUCAGCUCGUGUUGUGAAAUGUUGGGUUAAGUCCCGUAACGAGCGCAACCCCUAUCCUUAUUUGCCAGCGAGUAAUGUCGGGAACUCUAAGGAGACUGCCGGUGACAAACCGGAGGAAGGUGGGGACGACGUCAAGUCAUCAUGGCCCUUACGGGUAGGGCUACACACGUGCUACAAUGGCAAGUACAAAGGGUUGCAAUACUGCGAAGUGGAGCCAAUCCCAUAAAGCUUGCCUCAGUCCGGAUUGGAGUCUGCAACUCGACUCCAUG